rnacentral:rRNA from 1 species
AUUGAACGCUGGCGGCAUGCCUUACACAUGCAAGUCGAACGGUAACAGGUUAAGCUGACGAGUGGCGAACGGGUGAGUAAUAUAUCGGAACGUGCCCAGUCGUGGGGAUAACGUAGCGAAAGCUACGCUAAUACCGCAUACGAUCCAUGGAUGAAAGCGGGGGAUCGCAAGACCUCGCGCGAUUGGAGCGGCCGAUAACAGAUUAGCUAGUUGGUGAGGUAAAGGCUCACCAAGGCGACGAUCUGUAGCUGGUCUGAGAGGACGACCAGCCACACUGGAACUGAGACACGGUCCAGACUCCUACGGGAGGCAGCAGUGGGGAAUUUUGGACAAUGGGCGCAAGCCUGAUCCAGCAACGCCGCGUGCAGGAUGAAGGCCUUCGGGUUGUAAACUGCUUUUGUACGGAACGAAACGGUGAGCUCUAAUACAGUUUGCUAAUGACGGUACCGUAAGAAUAAGCACCGGCUAACUACGUGCCAGCCGCCGCAGUAA